rnacentral:piRNA from 1 species
UAGCAUGAGAUAAGUUUGAUUUUUAGGG